rnacentral:hammerhead_ribozyme from 1 species
AUCCAGCUGACGAAUCGCAAAUAGGACGUAACGCUCGUCAAACUAGAU